rnacentral:rRNA from 1 species
GACGAACGCUGGCGGCGUGCUUAACACAUGCAAGUCGAACGGAAAGGCCCUGCUUUUGUGGGGUGCUCGAGUGGCGAACGGGUGAGUAACACGUGAGUAACCUGCCCUUGACUUUGGGAUAACUUCAGGAAACUGGGGCUAAUACCGGAUAGGAGCUCCUGCUGCAUGGUGGGGGUUGGAAAGUUUCGGCGGUUGGGGAUGGACUCGCGGCUUAUCAGCUUGUUGGUGGGGUAGUGGCUUACCAAGGCUUUGACGGGUAGCCGGCCUGAGAGGGUGACCGGCCACAAUGGGACUGAGAUACGGACCAGACUCCUACGGGAGGCAGCAGUGGGGAAUAUUGCACAAUGGGCGGAAGCCUGAUGCAGAAACGCCGCGUGCGGGAUGACGGCCUUCGGGUUGUAAACCGCUGUCGCCUGUGACGAAGCGUGAGUGACGGUAAUGGGUAAAGAAGCACCGGCUAACUACGUG